rnacentral:rRNA from 1 species
AUUGAACGCUGGCGGCAUGCCUUACACAUGCAAGUCGAACGGCAGCACGGGGGCAACCCUGGUGGCGAGUGGCGAACGGGUGAGUAAUGCAUCGGAACGUGCCCAGUAGUGGGGGAUAACUAGUCGAAAGAUUAGCUAAUACCGCAUACGACCUAUGGGUGAAAGCGGGGGAUUCGCAAGAACCUCGCGCUAUCGGAGCGGCCGAUGUCUGAUUAGCUAGUUGGCGGGGUAAAAGCCCACCAAGGCGACGAUCAGUAGCUGGCCUGAGAGGACGACCAGCCACACUGGGACUGAGACACGGCCCAGACUCCUACGGGAGGCAGCAGUGGGGAAUUUUGGACAAUGGGCGCAAGCCUGAUCCAGCCAUGCCGCGUGCGGGAAGAAGGCCU